GCAUGUGUAUUUUAUUGAUGCUUAUAUCCAAUUCGAAUAUUAAUCAUGGUAUAUUCUAGUUCCUUGAGUCCAGAGAGUUAGCAAGUGCGUUUAACUGGGUUGAAUAUGUGAAAGAUAGGAUUGUUGAGGGUCUGCAUACAAUGUCGAAAAAAUUCAAGAAGAAAUUCAUUGGUCAGUGGAAGGCUAUCUGGAGAUAUGCAUCAUUUAAUGGAGAGUGAAACUAAAAAAUCAAUAAAAUGGUAAAAGAGCAAGAUUCCCGGGUGUCGGAAGUUCUUUACAAUUUAAAGCAAGACUACAAAAUGAAGUUUAAGGGUGAUGAGCAAUACGAAGCUGCCGAUGAGGAUGAAAUUGUUGAUGGCAGAAAAGAGCAAAAGAAGAAGAUCUUCACAAAAAAACAAUGCUGAGAAGGAUUUUGUUGAGUGCGAUUUGGCCGUGCGAAAAGAAGAUGUCCAUGGAGAACAAAAUCCUAGAACAAGUAUUUUUAAUAUGUAUGUCAUUGAUUAUUGUUAGAUAAUCAUUAUAUCCUUUAUAUUUUUAAUUUCUUAAGAACA